CAUUCAAAUAUCUGCCUAUCAACUUUCGAUGGUAGGAUAGAGGCCUACCAUGGGUUCAACGGGUAACGGGGAAUAAGGGUUCGAUUCCGGAGAGGGAGCCUGAGAAACGGCUACCACAUCCAAGGAAGGCAGCAGGCGCGCAAAUUACCCAAUCCCGACACGGGGAGGUAGUGACAAUAAAUAACAAUAUAGGGCUCUAUUGGGUCUUAUAAUUGGAGAUGAGUACAAUUUAAACCCCUUAACGAGGAACAAUUGGAGGGCAAGUCUGGUGCCAGCAGCCGCGGUAAUUCCAGCUCCAAUAGCGUAUAUUAAAGUUGUUGCAGUUAAAAAGCUCGUAGUUGAAGUUCGAACCUGGUUGGGUGGUCUGCCUUCACGGUACGUACUGCUCGGCCGGGUUCUACCUCUUGGUGAGCCGGCAUGCCCUUCACUGGGUGUGUCGGGGAACCAGGACUUUACCUUGAGAAAAUUAGAGUGUUCAAAGCAGGCUUUACGCCGGAUACAUUAGCAUGGGAAUAUACAAUAGGACGUGCG
rnacentral:rRNA from 1 species